CAACAUCACUCAACUCUGUCACACAUGUUCAGACUCUGUCCACUGUUGUGGUCCUACUGAAGUUGUGAUCCGAUUGGUCCUCUCUGCUCUGGUGGGCGUGGCUACUGUCAUUCUUGUGGUUUAUGACAUCAGAUCCAGAAGAGCUGAACAACAUCAAGCACAUAUUCACACAUCAGAAAGUAUUGAAAUCUGAAGCAGAAUGUUGAACUUUAAAGGUUCUUCAAGGUUUCGUCAUAAAUGCUAAUGAUUAUUAGAGCUUCUGUUGUCUCUCUUUCAGUGUCAGAUUUUCAAAAAUGUUAUUUGUAAGUAAGUUUCAUUGUUUAUAUUUUUUUUAUAAGACACACAUAUCUCACUUUACUUCUACUGCUGUCCAUUUGUGUUUGUCUUAUUUGCUUGACUUUAUCAAUAAAGUUUUCUC